UCGGAAGCUAAGCAGGGUCGGGCCUGGUUAGUACUUGGGUAGGAGACUGCCUGGGAAUACCAGGUGCUGUAAGCUU
rnacentral:rRNA from 2 species